rnacentral:rRNA from 1 species
GGGCCCGCACAAGCGGAGGAACAUGUGGUUUAAUUCGAUGAUACGCGAGGAACCUUACCCGGGCUUGAAUUGCAUUUGAAUGGCGUGGAAACAUGUCAGCCAGCAAUGGCAAAUGUGAAGGUGCUGCAUGGUUGUCGUCAGCUCGUGCCGUGAGGUGUCGGCUUAAGUGCCAUAACGAGCGCAACCCUCAUCAAUAGUUACUAACAGGUCAUGCUGAGGACUCUAUUGAGACUGCCGGCGUAAGCUGUGAGGAAGGUGGGGAUGACGUCAAAUCAGCACGGCCCUUACGUCCGGGGCGACACACGUGUUACAAUGGGGGGGACAGCAGGCAGCUAAGUGGUGACACCGCGCGAAUCCUCAAACCCUCUCUCAGUUCGGAUCGAAGUCUGCAACCCGACUUCGUGAAGCUGGAUUCGCUAGUAAUCGCGCAUCAGCCAUGGCGCGGUGAAUACGUUCCCGGGCCUU